rnacentral:rRNA from 1 species
UACGUAGGGGGCAAGCGUUGUCCGGAAUUAUUGGGCGUAAAGAGCGUGUAGGCGGUCCGGUAAGUCGGUUGUGAAAGUCCGGGGCUCAACCCUGGGAUGCCGACCGAUACUGUCGGCUAGGAGUUCCGGAAGAGGCGAGUGGAAUUCCCGUGGUGUACGGUGAAAUGCGCAGAUAUCGGGAGGAACACCGGUGGCGAAGGCGGCAUCCUGGACCGGCAUUGACGCUGAGGCGCGAAAGCUAGGGGAGCAAACGGG